GUGUUGUGUGAAAGGAGAGAAGGGUAGUGCUCCCCUUGAUAAGGAUGGAAAGAGGCCUCAGUGCCCUGCGCAACACACGCAUGGUUAAGGCAGUGCUACCCUACUUCAUGGCAUCUAACCAUGUUUU
rnacentral:ncRNA from 1 species